UCCCCUACGGGGGGCAGCAGUAGGGAAUUUUCGUCAAUGGGCGCAAGCCUGAACGAGCAAUGCCGCGUGAACGAGGAAGGUCUUCGGAUCGUAAAGUUCUGUUGAAGGGGAAAAAGAGCGGAGAGAGGAAAUGGUCUCCGAUUGAUAUUACCCUUCGAGGAAGUCACGGCUAACUACGUGCCAGCAGCCGCGGUAAUACGUAGGUGGCGAGCGUUAUCCGGAAUGAUUGGGCGUAAAGGGUGCGUAGGCGGUUCAAUAAGUCUGAUGUGAAAGCCUUCGGCUCAACCGGAGAAUUGCAUCAGAAA
rnacentral:rRNA from 1 species